GAACUAGGCUGGGCGUGUGUGUCUGCAUGUCUGUGUCUGUCUGAAUGCCUGCUAAAUAAAACACUAUUAAAUGCAGUGAUGUGAUGUUUUAACACUGAAGUCUAAGGUUAGUGAGUGUGCUUCUGUGUAUCUGUCUAACGUACAAUACAGUAAUAUAGACAAUAGUAAUUACUGUCACCAAAGCUAAUGUUCUUUUGUGCCUUUGUGUAUUCGCUGUGAUCACACAGUGUGUGUGUGUGUGUGUGUGUGUGUGUGUGUGCGUGCGUGCGUGUGUGUGUGUGUGUGUGUGUGUGUGUGUGCGUGCGUGUGUGUGUGUGUGGGGGAUGGAGUCAUGUUCUGCAUUAAGUGGAAGAUUGGUUUUAGAUGAAGAUACGCUGGGUAAUAAGAAGCCGUGAAGUCUGAGGUUCAUUAUGUUUCCGUACGCACGCGUGCUGCAUGCAGAGCAGCGGCCUGAUUCGAUUUGGCCCCUCCCCUUUCUCUUCUCCCCCGUUUCUCCCCCCUUCCUCCCGCUCCUCCCUCCCAGAUCCCGGAGGAGCACGAUGUGGAGAGCCAGGUGCGCAAGGAGAGGGAGUGGAGGUUCCUGCGGAACGCACGCGUCCGGAGGCAGAGCCAGCACAUCACUCAGAGAGGCGUGACCCGUCUGGACGACCAGAUCUUCAUCAACCGAAACCCGGGCGUGCCCUCGGUGGUCAAGUUCCACCCCUUUAACCCCUGCAUCGCCGUGGCAGACAAGGACAGCAUCUGCUUCUGGGACUGGGAGAAGUCGGAGAGGCUGGACUACUUCUACAACGGCAACCCGCGCUACACCCGCAUCACGGCCAUGGAGUACCUGAACGGACAUGACUGCUCGCUGCUGCUCACCGCCACCGGUCAGUCCCGCCGUCGCCUAGCGACG